CUUUCUGGCUUCCAGGUGAUGGGACUCAGAAGCCCCAGGGCCGGGCUUCCCAUCCCAAAUGCUCCUCUUUAGAAAUCAAAAUGCUACCAAGCAAGAAGGGGAACAUAUUUUACGGAGCCACUCAGGGAUCACACAUCCCCUGCCUGGUGUGAGAAGGAACCGCCUUCAAAACUAGAAGAGCUCCAGAUGCCGGGCAGAUCCUGGACCCCGGCCUGGGGGAUCUGAAUCAGUUUGAGAAUCCUGUUCUGUUUUCUUGUUACUCUUUUGGAUUUGACCCAGAGCCCUUCCUGCCUUUUACAAGCCAGUUGUACCCCGGAGAGGCUGCCAGCCCCACAAAGAAACCAGAAAAUAAAGCUGUCAACAACAAACUCUCUUCCAGCAAGAUGGAAGUGCAUAAACCUCAGAGAUGUUCGAAGGCCUUUCUUCUUUUCUUGCUGGGAAAAGCUCUCCUCUCACCAGGAAGGUUGUGGAUGGUGCCAAUCGGGAGUGAUGAUCAUCACAGAUGGGCAGGCCUUGAACCUCCACAUCUGGAGGUCAAACUGGACCAAAGGUCGAGGAGCCAGGAGGCACACAGGCUCCCAAAUGAGCUUGGACAUGAGCACCAGGCCCUAGAAAUUUCUAGACAAUCACUAGAAGGUAGGGGCCAGAAGAGUCAUACAAAUGGAUUAUCAGAGGGAUCCCUGGGUGGCGCAGCGGUUUGGCGCCUGCCUUUGGCCCAGGGCGCGAUCCUGGAGACCCGGGAUCAAAUCCCACAUCAGGGGAUCCCUGGGUGGCGCAGCGGUUUGGCGCCUGCCUUUGGCCCAGGGCGCGAUCCUGGAGACCCGGGAUCGAAUCCCACAUGGGGCUCCCGGUGCAUGGAGCCUGCUUCUCCCUCUGCCUGUGUCUCUGCGCCUCUCUCUCUCUCUGUGACUAUCAUAAAUAAAUAA
rnacentral:lncRNA from 1 species